rnacentral:sRNA from 1 species
GCCAGGCACAGUGGCGUGUGCCUGUAAUCCCAGCUACUCAGGAGGCUGAGACAGGAGAAUCGCUUGAACCCGGGAGGCAGAGGUUGCAGUGAGCCGAGAUCGCUCCAUUGCUCUCCAGCCUGGGCAACAGAGCAAGACUCUGUCUCAA